GCAAACGUUAUUCGGAUUUACUGGGCUUAAAGAGUUCGUAGGCGGCGCAGAAAGUAGGGUGUGAAAGCCCUCGGCUUAACCGAGGAAUUGCGCUCUAAACUACUGUGCUCGAGGGACGUAGAGGUGAGCGGAACUGAUGGUGGAGCGGUGAAAUGCGUUGAUAUCAUCAGGAACACCGGAGGCGAAGGCGGCUCACUGGGGGUCUUCUGACGCUGAGGAACGAAAGCCAGGGGAGCGAGCGGG
rnacentral:rRNA from 1 species